UGUAUAGAUACUUGGUAGCUUUCGGCAAUCUUUCGCGUAUGAUACGAGUAGUUGGCCGAUACGCUACCGUGUAUCUCGAUAUGAUAUAACCAUUAUGAAAACAUUCUUUGGCUCUUUAAGAUACGGGUGUUUACUAACAUUAUUGUCACCUCAUCUCCCCGAGUCAAUGAAUAUACCGUGAGCUCCUUUUCCCUGACGAGCUCACGGUAGAUUAGGAAAGAUUAGUAAAGACGUGUACUCCUACAAGUUCAGGAAUUUAUCAUUCGUGAAAGCUCAGAGGCUAUUCAUUCCUUCGCUGUCAGAUCCUCCCCGAUCACUGCAGUGGACGAUCUAACUCUCAUACGUCACAUCAAUAUUAUAAGAUUUUUUGCUCACAAAAAAGAUACAAUUCAGUUGGAUUAGAAACUCCUUUUUUGAUGAAUUUUUUAAAAUAUAAAAUGAGGUUAUGAAUUUUCAAUUUAUAGAUCUGCUAGUUCUUACAAUAUUUAUAAAAACGUAAACCUUUCACCCGAGUUGCUCACCUUUUUCCGUCCGGCAAUAUAACUAACCUCCAUUUCGGAUCAGAAGCCAAUGCACCGCGACCAAAAAUCCCUCGGGCCGUAGUUAUAAUAUCCUGGUGCUGGUGCUGAAUGUUAUAGACGAAAAAAGUCUGAAAAUACCGAAAUGACAGGACAAAGAACAAGGGACCAAUAAGUUAAUGGGCGUGAGAAAGAUCUCUGUCAGAAAGAGUUCUCAAAGAUGAGAAGUUGGUCAAGAUCUGGAGCAGCACAUUUUUUAAAACCAUCUAUUAAGUUUGAUGACGCCAGAGCUAGAUUCGAAUAGGUUCUGCUCCAACGAUUUUCCCACAUUCCAAGGAAAACUACUUUUACUACUAUCAUCGGCUCCAGAAACUAUUUUCCGCGGAGAAAAAUGUAUGAAACUUGAGGAAAUACCGAAUGGAGAAAUAAGUAAUAGGAAGUGUGGGAAAAUUAAUCAUUCAGAUUUAUAUGAGGAAACGUCGCGUAACAUUGAAAAAUCUAACACGAUCAUUUCUAUGAUGAGCUUGGACAUAUCGCGCAACGGCUGAAAGUGGACGAGCUUAUGAAGAACAAGAAGACACUUCAACAGAAGAGCAAUCUUUACCAAGAGAAGAUGUAAAAAGUGACAGAAAUCAUCACCACACUACUUCAAGCUAACGUUGUUAAAGUUCAUGUUUCGACAGAAAACUCCUCGGACAUCUCAUAAGCUGGAUUGGGAUAGUGCACCUUUUUUCCGGAGAGCUUACCAGGGUUAUCACAAUGUAAUGCACCAAAAUGUGAAUUGGAGCAAUUCUCAGAAAUUGCGCGCAAGUGAUUGCAAAAAUAUACAAAAGUAGUUGGAUUUACC